AUUAAUUCUGUCCACACCUGAAGUUAGUAUUUGUUAUAGGUCUUUUGUUUUUUUUUAAAUGUGUUGUUUGACAUUAUUUUAUGUUGGUUAAAAUUUUUCAAUGUUUUGACAUUGUCAUUUGUGCGGUCGUAUUUUAAUUAUUAAAAAUUAUAAAAUUGUUAGAAUCAUGCAAAAAAAUUGUGAGGAUUGUGAGAAAAAUUGAUUCGAUUGCUGUUAGAGUAAGCUGCAUAAGUUGAUGAUCCUCCUUAUAUUUCGAUCAACGAUGUCAGCGACAUUAAAAAACUGGAAAAAAAUGUGGACAAUGAAUAUUUGCGCAGAAGAAUUGAGAGAGUUAAAAAAAUAAAUAAAAAUGAAGAAAAAGAAGAUGAUUCAGAAAAAAAAAUUAAAUUAAAUUUAAAAAAAAUUGAUUAUGUUAAAUAUUUAAGGAAGUUCUCUCCCUCCAACGUCAGUCAAAUCAAUGCCCAUUUAAGUUUUCAUUUGUAUCACGUAGUACUAGCUCAACGCUUGGCAACGUUGGAUUAUAUUUC